rnacentral:rRNA from 2 species
GUGCUAAUACCGUAUAACAACAAAAUCCGCAUGGAUUUUGUUUGAAAGGUGGCUUCGGCUAUCACUUCUGGAUGAUCCCGCGGCGUAUUAGUUAGUUGGUGAGGUAAAGGCCCACCAAGACGAUGAUACGUAGCCGACCUGAGAGGGUAAUCGGCCACAUUGGGACUGAGACACGGCCCAAACUCCUACGGGAGGCAGCAGUAGGGAAUCUUCCACAAUGGACGAAAGUCUGAUGGAGCAAUGCCGCGUGAGUGAAGAAGGGUUUCGGCUCGUAAAACUCUGUUGUUAAAGAAGAACACCUUUGAGAGUAACUGUUCAAGGGUUGACGGUAUUUAACCAGAAAGCCACGGCUAACUACGUGCCAGCAGCCGCGGUAAUACGUAGGUGGCAAGCGUUGUCCGGAUUUAUUGGGCGUAAAGCGAGCGCAGGCGGUUUUUUAAGUCUGAUGUGAAAGCCUUCGGCUUAACCGGAGAAGUGCAUCGGAAACUGGGAAGACUUGAGUUGCAGAAAGGAGGGACAGUGGAACUUCCAUGUGUAGCGGUGGAAUGCGUAGAUAUAUGGAAGAACACCAGUGGCGAAGGGCGGCUGUCUAGUCUGUAACUGACGCUGAGGCUCGAAAGCAUGGGUAGCGAACAGGAUUAGAUACCCUGGUAGUCCAUGCCGUAAACGAUGAGUGCUAAGUGUUGGAGGGUUUCCGCCCUUCAGUGCUGCAGCUAACGCAUUAAGCACUCCGCCUGGGGAGUACGACCGCAAGGUUGAAACUCAAAGGAAUUGACGGGGGCCCGCACAAGCGGUGGAGCAUGUGGUUUAAUUCGAAGCUACGCGAAGAACCUUACCAGGUCUUGACAUCUUCUGCCAAUCUUAGAGAUAAGACGUUCCCUUCGGGGACAGAAUGACAGGUGGUGCAUGGUUGUCGUCAGCUCGUGUCGUGAGAUGUUGGGUUAAGUCCCGCAACGAGCGCAACCCUUAUUAUCAGUUGCCAGCAUUCAGUUGGGCACUCUGGUGAGACUGCCGGUGACAAACCGGAGGAAGGUGGGGAUGACGUCAAAUCAUCAUGCCCCUUAUGACCUGGGCUACACACGUGCUACAAUGGACGGUACAACGAGUUGCGAAGUCGUGAGGCUAAGCUAAUCUCUUAAAGCCGUUCUCAGUUCGGAUUGUAGGCUGCAACUCGCCUACAUGAAGUUGGAAUCGCUAGUAAUCGCGGAUCAGCAUGCCGCGGUGAAUACGUUC